rnacentral:sRNA from 1 species
AUUCUGCCCAUGCGGGGAAGGAUGAGAAGCUUCGACCAAGGUUCGACUCGAGCGCCAGCGAGAGAGCGUUGCCGCAGGCAACGACCCGAAGGGCGAAGCGCGCAGCGCUGAGUAAUCCUUCCCCCACAACCA